UCCUCUGCACUCCAAAGCAUCAGACUCAGAAGGGUUUCCCAUAAAAUAAUUGUUACUAUGUAAUUUUACACAGAGAGUACAUCAUUGUCUUUAAUUGAUUUCAUUGUGUUUCUGUGCGUGGUGCACAAUUUGUGUGCUCUGCCAUCUGAAGUGUGCUGACAAAAUGAUAUCUAACCAGGCCCCGAGAAUAUUGUAGAGGCUACUUUUAGUGGUAAACUCCAGCUGCUUUGGGCCAGUUAGGUAACACAAUGCAGCUGCAAACCCAAUUUAACUGGGUUUAUGUUUACUUUGCUGUAUCAGAGUGGCUCUCAGCAGCUGGAGCAUAGCAGAAAAUAGGGUCCUCAAUGUUCGGUAUUUAGUAUAUGUCCUCUCUCUAGGGUGUAUGUCUCGCCUUUGCAGGGGAAUGUUUUCCUAGCAAAGAUGUCUUUCAUCUAUAACCACUGUUAUCAUAUAAUCAAUGAAGUCAUCUGGAAAUGACCCGUUAGGGGAUGCAGCAUGCUGUUACUUUGUUGUAGACGGGAGCACGGCAGUGGGAUUUGCCUGUGCCUCACUAAGUGGCUAGUACAUUCAAAUAUACUUUGGGGAAAGAAAGGGAUAGCGUGAUUACCUAUGAGUAGGUAAUAACAUUCUCUUGGGGAAUCAAGAUCUGCUUCACGAGGACUGCUGAGGGGUUGUUCUGUGCAGCCAGUUUCACAGAGUAGGAGGAGAUGGGAGAUGAAGGCUCUGCCCCCUUCCCAGCAGACCUGUCAGUAGCCAGGACACUCUGGGAGGUGAGAGCUAAGGGGAAGGAGGCUCCUGAGCUUUGGCCUCUCACGACCACCCUCCCUGCUCUGCUUAAGAGCCUAUUUCUUUGUCCAUUUCUUCCCCUUCAUACUUUUUUAUUUGUAAUCUCCUGUUUCUUUUGAAGAGAUACACUUUUUAUGAAUAAUUAACAACUAGUUUGUCUAGAAAGCUGUGGUAGAACAGAGGAAGGACCAUGCCGUGCUUGUUUCCUGCAGACCUGAGGUGAGGAGCGAGGUCCGGGAGCGGUUAAUACAGAGGCAGCAGUUUAUGGGUAGAAUAAGCUGGGGAUAAAGUCUAGAAAAGGAAGAGAAGAGAAAUAGGAGCAGAGAUCCAUGUCAUCUCUCCCUGAAAGUUGUAGAGAAGAUGAAGAAAAGCCCUGAGGAGUGAUUAAAAUAAUGUGAGGAAUUGGCAGAGGUUUGUAGACUGGGAGCAAAGGGGAAGACAAAUUGGGCCAUAUUUUUUGUAAGGGAUGGAAGCGUCAAAACUGUGUCUGCAUAGUCAGGAGAGGACAAGAGUUUUUCUGCCCCUGGGCAUUCAGGGAAGCAAAGGAAGACAGAUCUGUGACCUGCUGGUGAAGGGCUGAGGGAGGUGAGAACGAACUGAGUAGAAGGAGAAGGCCACUUUUUUUUAACCUGUUUUCUUUAGGAAAAAAAUCACAGGAGGCAAAAGUUAGAAAGCAUGAGAUAAGGGUUUGCAGAGCUGGAGGAAAAUGUCUGUCUGGGGUUCUUGGUUCGGUUGAAUCAGAAAACCAGUUGAUUAGCAAAAGCUGCAGAAAUAGACAUUUUUUGUGGCGCAGGAAUUUGACUGGCUUCUGGGAUUUCCACUAGCAAUAUUCUGCAAUGUGGUAACGAAGGCUUUGAGCCCCGCUCCUGUGCCAGUAGGCACAGGCCAGCACUGGGUCGGGGAGCCUACCGACAAGGAAACACCGCAGGCCACCUGUUUUACUUGCUAGUGUAAAUACCACCAAGCAGUCCAUGGACAGAAAAGGGGGAUCUAUGACAAAGGGGUACCUGCAACCCAAACCCCGAUGCUUGGUGAUGCCUGUGGUGACAGAGGAGCCAGCCCUCUAGCGAGAAUUGCCACUGAACCAGUAGAUGCCAUGCAGGCAGACUAGCACAGGCUUUCGAUUCGGGCCUGGUUUGCUGUGUUUUUUUUCUGUGUUUAGAUGCUGCUGUGUUGGCCAAGGUCACUGAGUUUCUCCAUGUGCAAGGAGGAGCACGCCACCGCCUGGGAUAUCGCGCCUGCUGGGUCCUUGCCCUUCCUUCUCCUCCCUUCGCCUUUGGCUGUCUGCGUCGUCUCGCCUGCUGGGUUGGGAAGCGCUCCCCAAGGUGGAUGCUGAAGGAAGAAGUGUUAUUUUUUUAAACAUAUCUGAAGGUCUGCUCAGAAGGCCACCCAGGACAGAGCCUUUUAUAUUUUAAAGGAUUAGUUUCCUCAGCAUGCCUUUGUGGGGCUGGAGCUUUAAAUCAGGCAGACCCAAGCAGCUGUAGCCCUGACACGGUCAUUUUACAGCUAGCUGCUGCUUGUCGCCUCUCCUUCUUUCCCAGCUGAACAGGUUACCCAGGGAUGGGAGGGAAUCUCCAUUGCCCGGAGUCUCUAAAUCAGAGCUGGCUCUCUUUCUAAGGAGUAUGCUUUCACCAAACUGCAUGGUGUUGAGCUGGACGUGGGGAUCACCAGGGAAAACUGAAGCACUCCCUUAUGCAGGUGGACAGAUGAGAUGGCUGUAAUGAUCCUGCUGGCCUUAAAGCCUGCAAAACUACUGUUGCUACUCUUCUUGUACCAACACAGAAAUAAGAAAACUGAUUGAUAAAAUGUAUCUCUCUUCCUUCCUGAAAUCUCUCUGAAGUUCAGGACUGUGAUAUGCAUUGCGCACAUUGAUCUAUUCCAGAAGUGCUAGAUCCAGACUGCAUGGAAAACUGAAUUACUUUCCCCACCUGGGCCCCUUAACCUGCUACUGUCUGUGGAAACCUGAGUAAAGACUGCCCAGAUCUAUGAUGAUCAAUGGAAAAGGGCUCUCUGCUAGCCAAGAAGGAAGAGGUGUGCAGAGCUGAAGCCCUUACCGGAGAUUCUCUGCUCUCCUGGUUGCAGCUGCCACUUGUGGCCAGAAGAAGGGAAUCACGGAGCCUCUGCAAUGACAUCUCACUUUGCAACAGUUUCUCCUGAUGCUUUGCUAGGCCCAUCCUGGGGCUUGUCUACACCAGCAACCAGCUGUGACUCACCUGGGCUGAUCACCCUCAUUUGCCUAUCUGGUGGCCAGGGGGAGAGUGCACUCUAGGAAUGCAGGGUUGGCACCAGAGGUCAUGCUGCUGCCUGUGGCCAGCCUGGCUAUUUGCGUGGCCAUAAGAUAGAUCAGAGAGCUGGUUCAGCUGAAGAAUAACCAUCUUCUUCCAUGGCAUCGGCUGUGUUCCCGGCUGGCGCGGCAUACGGUUGCAGGCACGCUUGUACCAGUGGAGCGCAGCACCUAUCCUGCAAAAUGUGUAGUUAUCCCUAUUUUACUACUGGGAGAAAGAAUAUACAGGAAAGAGGCCAGAGAGGCUACGGGUCUUGGUCAAGGCUACAGCGGUCCUAUAGCGGAUCUAUGGCUGAGCUGCUGGGUCAUGAACGUGUGGAGCGAGAUGCCUGGGUCCACAGCAUCCCACAUUCUAAACACAAUGGUGUGCGCAGGCUCACGUGAAGGAUGUUUCCUGCGGCAAGUUAUAACUGGACGACCACUGGAACAGCGCGAAUGCAGAACAGGACAUUUUAACUGGAAAGCAACCCAGCAGGCCGGGGGAAAGAAAUUCAGAUGUCAUAUUGCUGGUUCUGGCUACAGUACAUAGACAUUAUGAAAAGACAGCACCAGGAGACCUUAAGGAGAAACAGUGAACCAGAAGUCCUUGGAUAUGUCUACCAUGCCGGCUACACCAAUCACUUCCCUGCUGUGCAGCAUUGCUAUUUGUUUUAUAUGCAUACGACAUUGCAGUUACCAAAAGGUAUGGGUACUGUCAGGGGCAACGUCUGUUCGGUGUCUUUCUCACACUGUGGUGGCACCCAUAGAAGUCAAUGGGCAUACCUGAUGUCUCUUGCCCCAACCUACAGCUGACUCCACCUGGGUAUACCUGUUGGUCAACAGUUUUCUGCUUAGUGACUGGACAGUGAUUGGAGGAAACAGCUAGCCAUCAAAUCCCACGUGAGUGGAGCAAGUGGCACCUAUGCAUCAAAGAACAUUCAAGAACAUGCCAGAAUCAUCUUGAACCUGCCAGAGCCACCAGAAGGAAGAAGUACACGACUCUAUCCCUCUGUCAAGACGAGAGGACCUGUGUGAGAUAAAACAGCAGAGAAGCAGGUCGUGCUGCCCAGGCAGCUGUGCAAGCGAGUGCAGAACAAGAAGUUGCCCAGCUUCUCUCUCUACUCAAGGCAGACUCAACUAAACCCACCACAUGCCUUCCCUGGAAGACAUCUGUGUAACUUUUCCCUAAAGUCCUGCUCAUCCUUCGUGGCCUGAAUCUGCAAAUAUGUAAACCUCUCUCUUAAGUCCCUCUCCACUGAAGUUAGUGAAAUUAAUGUUGAGGUCCACAAAGACAGAGAUGAGUUUUUGGAAAUUCCACCCUGUCGUGACCAAGCAUCGAUUCCCUGACCUGCGACAAUGAAAUUGUCCCGAAGUUUUGAAAAAUAUUUACCACAGGGUUUUCAAAAGCACCCCACUGUUGUUCUGACAAUGGUCAAUACUGGACGGUGCUGAGGAAAAGCUG